AAUAAAUAAAAAGAAGAUAAACACUGCGGUUACGGCGGAGAGACGUCUGAGUGGACAGUUCCGUUCGCCGAGUCCAAUAGCGAGGUCGCAGUUUUUUUUUUUCCUUUGUUAUCGAAUUUUUUUCUUUGUUUGAAAGUGAAGGCUGCCGAAGUGAUAAUGUCUAAUUUACCACCGACAUAUGUGGAGGGUUUCCACGACCUGGAGGCUGUCAAAGCCAUGGAGUACAGGCCUCUGGGGAAGACAGGUCUGAUGGUCAGCGAGUUAUCAUUCGGAGGAGGUCCUCUGGGUUGUCAUUAUGGGGAGUACGAUGAAGAGGAGGCUAUUGCUACCAUUCGUGAGGCCCUUCGGAAGGGAAUUAAUUAUAUCGACACGGCCCCCUGGUAUGGCCAAGGUCGAUCAGAAAGAACCAUUGGAAGAGCCCUCGAAGGAAUUCCCAGAAAGGCCUAUUACAUCGCGACAAAAGUCGGAAGAUAUUCAUUGGAUUUCGAAAAUAUGUUCGACUUCACCGCUCAGAGAACACGAAAAAGUGUUGAAGACAGUCUGAAACUCCUUCAGCUCGAUUACGUCGAUGUUUUACAAGUUCACGAUGUGGAAUUCGCUCCAUCCCUGGACAUCAUCAUAACUCAAACACUGCCGGAGAUAUCACGUCAGGUCAGCCAGGGAAGAGCCAGAUUCAUCGGCAUCACGGGAUAUCCAGUUUCUGUUUUGAAAGAGUGCAUUGAUAAGAGCAAUAUUAACAUAUCUGUGAUAUUAUCGUAUGCCAGGUAUACACUCAUCGACGAUACUCUCCUCCAGUACAUCCCAUUUUUCCAGGACCACAAUAUAGGAAUAAUAAAUGCAUCAGCUCCCUGUAUGGGCCUUCUGGUGAAUACACCGCCCCCAGACUGGCACCCAGCGAGUGAGGAAACUAAAAAACAAUGUUAUCAGGCUGUUCAAUACUGCAACGAUCACGAUUUAAAACUCGCGAGAUUGGCUGUUUGGUACGCAAUGCAGCACUCAGACAUUGCGACUAAUCUCAUUGGAAUGCAGAACUUGGAGCAGUUGCGAAUGAACUUGGAUAUAGUGUACAAUGGCAUUACAGAUGAGGAGAAAACAGCACUGGAUGAAGUUGUGAAGAGCGCACGAUAUCGAAGACUUAUUAAAUGUCUCUUCUAAACUUCCCGUUUGAAUAUCGCCCCCUUGUUCUACGAAAGCAAUGUUCAACGCAGAUUCUUAAUGAAGGUCAAAGGUUCUCACUGGGAGAAUAAAGAGAUAAAGGCGUACAGAGCAGCUCUAGGAAUGUAAAAAAUAUAUAUUUCGUAUAAAAGUUAUUCAUUUAUCAUGUAAAAUAGAAAUAAAGUGAAUUUUUAAACUUUAA